UCUAUUAGCAGAUAAUUGCAUUAGACUUAGAAUCUAAUUUUCUUAA
rnacentral:tRNA from 1 species